GUUAUGUAAUGAUUAUUAUUGUGUGUUGUUGUCGUAGUUGCAAAGGUCAAGCCAUUUUUCUAGUUAAAGGGAAAUCAGAAGUGCUUGUCCUCACCCGAGAGCUCUUCCAACAGAGACAGGAGCUGAUGCGUGGGGCUGCCACUCUCCGCUCUCCUGUCACUUUGGGCUGAGCCGGGAAGGCUGCAAACUGGUUGACUUCUCUUCUUUUUUUUUAAAUCCCACCAUCGAGGAACAAAGUGGAGAAGGCAGAAGCCCCUCAAAUUGAGGUUUUUGAAAGUUAUCUUCCAUGGCAGGAAUAAACAGAAACUUUUUUUCCUAAGGGCAGUUUUUAUUUUUUUUUAUUAUUUUUUUUUAUUUUGAGAGAGUACAAACUACAGGAGAAGAGGGAAAUUUUCUCAUUAAAGUUACAUCCCUGCAGUUAGUUCAAUUACUUGAUAUAUGCAGAAGAUGUUGUAAAUUUAAAGAUUUAAAUAGCUUACAAAGAUGCCGGAGGCUCCAUCAGUUAAUUUCCUUAAUUUAUGGAUUUUUAGCUGAGCUUCUGAAAUGAAAAGGAGAAUGAGAACUAGGUCAGCUGAGAGAUUUGCAUCCAGUACAGACUCAGAUUUGUUUUGCCUUGACCAUCCUACCAGCCCAGAUCAAAGCAAAGACACAAUAGCAGUUGAGGAUGAAAAAGACAAGCAUAUUGAUUGCAGGCAACUUGUUCGGCAUUGUUUUUAUGGUAUCUAGAAAAGGACAAUGUUCUUGAGAGGAUGUUUUUGCCUAUAUGAAUGUAGAAGAUAUUAAAGAUCUUUAACUGUGGAUUGAAAUGGACAGAACCAUUUUGCAUUUCAUCUGGUUCCAUCUUGUUAUCCCAUAGUUUAAAUUUGAUUUUGUUUGUGUCUCUGCUGCCUGUCAUGAGAGUCAAGCCAGAAGAAAAGAGAUGUCUGCAAUAUAUUUUUAGGACGGCUCUGAUCGAGAAACAGGAAACACAGUGAAUACAGCAGCAAGUCAGGCCAUAAGUUAAGAUAUAAAUGGGAGAGUGUCGUUCAUGUGGCUGGGACUGGCUGAGGGCCACACUUAACAGGGUGUACAUAGAACAUAUGUGGCAGUUCUUUUAAACCUAAGAGCUUCAUUAUGAGUGACACUUCUCCCUGUUCAUGGCUCGGUGGCCAUUGUAUCAUAAAGGUACUUUUGUCUGAGGGAAAAAAGAACUGAGCGAAAAAUGCUUCCGAAGUAAUUUCUGGACCCAAGCAACCUUUGCAGCGUUUAUAAGUGGGGUAGAAUUGGAAAAUUCUCUCUGGAAAAAUGAGGUUACACAGACAAGUCCAUAAGAAACAAGACCAAGAUGCAGCAGGUCUUGUAGCCACCCCUCAUAUUUAACAAUAGAGAAUGAGAUUAACCCAGAGGAUGUGAAGAACUGGUGAGAUGAGUUUCAGACUGGAAAUGUUCUGGCCAUGUGGAGAAGCAAUUAUUUGGGUCAGAAACCUCAAAAGAUAAAAUAAGUUGCACAGCCCAACACUUCUUGGUUCUGUCAGCUGACCUACAUGAAAAAAUAAACAUUGAACUAGGGAAGUUUACCAGGGCAGACAAGGACAUGGAGUGGGCUUAAAACCAACUGUAGUGGUAGUCAGACCAUAAUGAGAAGUUCAUCCUGCUGUUUCCCAGUCAGACUGGCAUCAUAGUUUGCCACUGGUUGGGAGAGGAUGAAUGUCAUGGGAGUGACCUGAAGAAGAAGACAUUCCAGGCGAAAGUUUGUCUAAGUCUACCCCAACCCAAGUCUAUUCCAUAUAGUUGGUCCAAUAAAACAUAUCAUCUGCAAAACACCUUGUCUCAUGGGAGCAUUAGUUAUGACUGCACAAAUGAGGAAUUUUGAUGAUUACAGAAUCUGUAAAUUGUGUCCUUCUCUCUCCUUAAGUAUUCUGCAGUUUUCUUUAUCAGACAGUCUGACUGCUAUAUGAAUUACAAGACAUUAUUCUAUUGAAGUGCCUAAAUAUAGUUGGAUUUUUAAAAAUUUCCCAUUAUCCGACUCCCUGUUCACAGCUCCAAACACUUGACAAUACCUGUAUUAUAUAUUGGAAAUAAUCUUCAGGAUAAACUGCAGCAUCCAUUAGCUUAAACACACUUAGAUUAGGCAAGAAAUACAUUAUAGAAAGUAUUUUAUUCUCAUUUUCUGUUCCUGACUGUUAACAACAAAAAUAGCACCAAAAAAUACUAUUUAAUUAAUCAGUACAUGCAAUAUUUUUUCAAUACAGUAUUGUCCAGAUUUUUUUUUUACAUUGCCAUUCUGUAAGGUUCUCUCACAUCUUUUUAAACAGCCAAUUUUAAGGAGGAUUUCUUAAUGUACAUUUGUAACUUGCAUCAUAUUAGCCUUUUGCUACUUGUUAAAUAAAGAUUAGCCAUAUUAUAUAUGUCACAGAUGAGAAAGCACUUGCAUGAAUUAAUUGAAUCCAUUCGUUGGUUUAUUACAGACACAAAGUAGCCCAAAGAGUGUCACAAAUCCACAUGGUGUCCCUGAGUGCUUGAUUUUGCAUACGGAUCGCUGACUUAGCUGAACGAUGUAUAAAAUCCUGUGUACUCAGACGACUCCCUGUUGAAUACACAUCUAAGGAAGGUUCUUUUUUCCAGCUAAGGUCUGGAAUACUCAAAAAUGUUUCUGAAUGGUAGGAUACAAUGAACUGAUGAAAAGGGAUACAAACUUAAUUUUGCUUCUAAUCUUAAUCUAUUUAAAGGAUCUCUGGGCACAAACAUAUCAGGAAAUAUUUCUAAUGCAUCUGUCUUGGUAAUCAUCCUCUUCACCAUCUAAAUAAUCAUCCUCUUCAUCCACUUCAUCAUCUCUUCUAUAAGUAAAUAUAUUGAUUAAGGGCUUUUCUGGCCUUGGGACCUGUAUGGAAGCUCAGAGAUCUGUUGAGAUUCCAUAACAGAAAAAUAUAUGAACAAAUAUAUGACAAAAUGGGAAUAUGGUUUUUCAAAAUUCAGAGUCUUUCAUUGAUGCAGGCAAAGAGAAGAGGAGCAAUGAUGUUGGUUGUGGAAACUGAAGAGGAGUUUUAGGCCCUAGUAUUAAUUUUGGAUGAGAUCAGUUCUAAUGUAAAUGAUUUGCAAGUUGCUGUAAUCCCUUUUGACAAUAAACUAUAGACAGAUACAUUCUCUUGAGACAGACAAUACAUGGUGAAUUCUCAGCUAUUAAAGCAGAGGUGAAUUUAAUGGGUUCUGAGGAGAAAGUUAAACAUGUCUAUGUUGCAAAACACAUGAAUGACAGAAAAUAAAAUUCUCAACUGGAGCUGAGAAAUGCUCAAAAACUAAA